rnacentral:rRNA from 1 species
GACGAACGCUGGCGGCGUGCUUAACACAUGCCAGUCGAACGGAAAGGCCCUGCUUUUGUGGGGUGCUCGAGUGGCGAACGGGUGAGUAACACGUGAGUAACCUGCCCUUGACUUUGGGAUAACUUCAGGAAACUGGGGCUAAUACCGGAUAGGAGCUCCUGCUGCAUGGUGGGGGUUGGAAAGUUUCGGCGGUUGGGGAUGGACUCGCGGCUUAUCAGCUCGUUGGUGGGGUAGUGGCUUACCAAGGCUUUGACGGGUAGCCGGCCUGAGAGGGUGACCGGCCACAUUGGGACUGAGAUACGGCCCAGACUCCUACGGGAGGCAGCAGUGGGGAAUAUUGCACAAUGGGCGGAAGCCUGAUGCAGCAACGCCGCGUGCGGGAUGACGGCCUUCGGGUUGUAAACCGCUUUCGCCUGUGACGAAGCGUGAGUGACGGUAAUGGGUAAAGAAGCACCGGCUAACUACGUG